AUACGGAGGAUCCAAGCGUUAUCCGGAUUUAUUGGGUUUAAAGGGUGCGUAGGCGGACUGGUAAGUCAGCUGUGAAAGUUUGCGGCUUAACCGUAAAAUUGCAGUUGAUACUGUCAGUCUUGAGUGUGCAUGAGGUGGGCGGAAUUUGUGGUGUAGCGGUGAAAUGCUUAGAUAUCACGAGGAACUCCAAUUGCGAAGGCAGCUCACUGGGGCAUAACUGACGCUGAUGCACGAAGGUAUGGGUAUCAAACAGGAUUAGAUACCCUGGUAGUCCACACAGUAAACUAUGAAUACUCGCUGUUUGCGAUAUACAGUAAGCGGCCAAGCGAAAGCAUUAAGUAUUCCACCUGGGGAGUACGCCGGCAACGGUGAAACUCAAAGGAAUUGACGGGG
rnacentral:rRNA from 1 species